rnacentral:lncRNA from 1 species
GCACAGCCAAGGUUAAACACCACUUGAACUCUGUGACUUAAAGCAAGUUUUCCAGGCCAGCCCCCGUGGCCUAGUGGUUAAGUUCAGCGCACUCUAAUUCAGCGGCCUGAGUUCAGUUCCUGGGUGUGGACUUACACCAUCUGUCUGUCAGUGGCCCUGCUAUGGCAGCAGCCCAUAUACAAAAAGAGGAAGAUUGGCAACAGAUGUUAGCUUCAAGGGAAAUCUUUCUCAGCCAAAAAAAAACGCGAGUUUUCUAAUUUGGCAAAGAUUUAAUUUCCUUCUUGGUAAGAUGGAGCAAGAAGCCUUAGGGCCUGUAGUAGUAGAAGCAGGAAAGCCACAUUUGGAUCCAAGCAGCAUCCUAAAGGUGAGCAACACCCUGCAGGGAUCCCAUCCACACAAGCAGCCCCAGAAGUAAGCAGCAGCUAGAGGGCUGAAGCCUGUGUUAGCACUCGCCCAGGACAGAUUAUUCCAGCAGGAUGAAGGCAUCAAUCCAGAUCCAGGGCCAGAAGGUCAGGGUCCAGCUACCCCAGAGGGCAGUUUAGCAUUUGCCUGAGGGUCUGCAGGC